GUGGUGGUGUAGAUGUGAAUUCUAGAUUGUGGAUCUAGGGGUCGUGGGUUCAAGUCCCAUCAGCCACCCCA
rnacentral:tRNA from 1 species